UGGGUCGGGCUUUUGAUUUUGGAUCCUUUAUAUUGCUUCUGACUCCUAUCUUCUUUCUCACGCUUCAUUCCAAACCCUAAAUCAUUCUUUUAGCCGCUUCACUCUACAUCCUCUUCAAAUCAAACUUGGAUCCAUGGAUUAUUUUCAAUGAAGAAUCUAACUGAUGUUGGUAAUCGUAUUCAAAGAUUUUCUUUUUCUUCCACCGGAAUAUCCAUUGAUUCUUCUUCCGUCGCCGGCGCCGCUCUCCGGCCCUCUGAUUCGCCUCUUGUGAUCGGACAAGAAGGAAACAUCGAAUCGCUGGUUAAAUCCAUGUAUGAAGUCUGUUGGAUGAUGAUUUGAUGAGUUUUAAAGGCUGUGAUGAUCAAUUUGAAUGCGUUUGAGUGAAAUUGGGCAAAGAUGAGAUCGUCCGCAUCUUGGCAGGGCAACCCGGAUGGUCAUGUGGUUUCACAUGACAAUCCAGUAUUGGUAUACAUCUGUUAUUUGAGAUGAGGACGGCGGAGCUGUGGCGUCGUCUUCUCAGUAUCGUUGAUUGGUCUACCCAUACCUACAAAACAGAAGACAAGGAAUCCGGUGAGACAACGCAAACUAGGGUUCUGGCGAAACUUUAGUUACCUCCAACAAGAAUUUUGGAAAUUUGUCACAUAGAUUUGAAGCUUGAGAACACUCUCUUAUCUGCAUGGUUUUGUCUGUUCGUGCCGAUGAUCAAACCCGUUUGCCUAAUUUGCCAUGGCGGCUUCUUCAGGCUUUCAAAGCAGCAGAUUCCCCAAAUUCAAGGUCAAGUAGAUCCUGAAUCCGCCGGGAAAGUUUGAUGUGAAGUAUGGUAAAUACGCUGGUAUAUUCGGGCUGUUAUAUGUAGGUAUUGACAGCGGGAUGAUUGAUGAUUGCAGCUGAUCAUUAGAGCUCAUGGUACAUUUCAUUUUACUUUUUGAUAUUUUUUUUAACUUUGUAUAAGUGUUUUUUUUAUUUUGCAAUGUUAUAGUUCGCUUCAGAUUACUCUAUUAUAAAUAAUCAUAGUCUGAGUUGUGAUUUAAAAUUGUUAUUAUACGGAUGUGUGUGGAUGUUCUUUGUGUUAGUUUUUUGCAUAUCCUUUGUUUUUAGUGGUCUUUUGAGAACAAAAGAAUGCCUUUAAUGUUUUAUCCCAUUCGUUCUCUGUUCGUUUCACACAAACGCCGCUGGUAAACCCUCUUCUAUUGUUGCUCGCCGUUGUUAUUUGAGUUGGAGACUAGCGUCGCCUCCGAUCCGCCCUCUGUCGUCGAUUAACAGAUCAUGGACCCCACAAAAUCUUUGAAAUCAAUCGCAAGUCUAAUUCACAGGGUUUUUCACCUGUUAAAGCCACAUAUUCAUCGAGAUGAAGUUGAAAUGCAACAAUUUGUCCUCACUCCAGUGUAUACUUCAUGUGUUUGAAUGCAGGGAGUUUAGAGAAUCAAUCCAAGGAAAUGAACAAUUCAAUGCUUUAGAAGGUGGGAUAGAGCUACUUCAACGUUUUGGCUGUAUCUUUGCUUGAGCCCAGAUUUUAGAUACGAACCCCAGCUGUUUUUUCAUCUGCAGCAGCAAAGGUGGGAGCUUUUUAAGCAGCUUGGGACAAGAAAUGAACAAAUUCAAUGCUUUAGGUGGGAUAGAGCUACUUCAACUUUUUUGGCUGUAUCUUUGCUUGAGCCCAGCUAGAAGAUGGUCAAACGAAGCUGCAAUCAAGAUUGAAGUCAGAUAUAUGAGUAUAUUUCUUGAUUGAUGGGGGUGUUUGGCUACUGGUGCAGAUAUAUUGUAUGAUUCGUGGUCCCCUGCUAUUACUGUGAGCUCUGUAUGCAUCAACAUUCUCUCCAUGCUAUCAAGCUCUACUUCUAAGAUAAGAUCGGCAAAGGCAAUUGGAAAAUUAAGAGAGGAAAUAAAGAAAGUGGGGCUUGAUUUACAAAGGGUUAUUUCCAGAUGGCUUCAUGAGAGAGAACAGAAAGUUAAAGUGGAGAAUGCUCUAGACAAUUUUAUGAAGGUUGAACACGAGAUUGAACAAAUAGACGAGGAGACAAAUCAACUUGACAUUGAGAUCAAGGUAAUUAGGUGGAGGUUAAAACAAAGACAGGUUAGGUGACAUAUCUAAUGUUUCCCUGGUUCUUUAGCAGAAAAGUAGUAUUUUAUUGUUAUUUUGAAGGAGUCUUUUGUUUACGUUGGAAUGUAGUGCCUAUAUAAAGGUUUUCUUGGUUAAUGAAUAAACAUAUCAGUCUUUCUUUGUUUA